rnacentral:rRNA from 1 species
GUUAGCUGUGCACUCUAAACAGACUGCCGUGGAUAACACGGAGGAAGGUGGGGAUGACGUCAAAUCAUCAUGCCCCUUAUGAUCUGGGCUACACACGUGCUACAAUGGUCGGUACAACGGGCAGCGAAAGAGUAAUCUGGAGCGAAUCCUAAAAAGCCGAUCCCAGUUCGGAUUGUGGGCUGAAACUCGCCCACAUGAAGUUGGAGUUGCUAGUAAUCGCGGAUCAGCACGCCGCGGUGAAUACGUUCCCGGGCCUU